ensembl:lncRNA
GGGAGGUCUGAUGCAGAUCUAGCCCUGAGCUAGGUCCCAGGGAUCCAGAGAUGCCCAAGAUAGAGAAGAUCCAUGACUCUGAGGAGCUCAGGAUCUAUCAACAUUACCCACAAUGUUUACAUGCAGAGUUCCAGGCCUCAGCACUGACCUAGAAAAUUAGCAUCUCUGGAAAAGGGCUCCCGGAAUGCUAUUUUAACCAGCGUUGUGGAUGAUUCUAAGCUCAAUGCAGUUCGCAGGCUUUCUAGGCCUGGCAUGCUCCCCUGACCAAGUCAGAUUCUUCUUCAUCCUUAAGGAUGCCACUUCUCCUUUGAGGAGACUUCUCUGACUUCUCAAGCAAUUAACGCCUCUCUGUGUUCAAAUAACAUCUUGAAGGAACCUCUACUAUGUCCCUUAACGCACUGAAUUGUAAUUGUUGACUUGUCUCUAUUCUCCACUGUACUCUUCAGUUCUUGGGAGGCAGGGUCAGCCUCUUUGUAUCCUCAUCCACUAACACAGCACCGGACACUUUUUAAGUUACCGUCUACUGUCUGUGCUACUGGGCGAGGAAAUUCCGUAGCUAAGUAGUUAAG